UACGUAGGGGGCAAGCGUUGUCCGGAAUCAUUGGGCGUAAAGAGCGUGUAGGCGGCUCGAUAAGUCUGCUGUGAAAGUCCAGGGCUCAACCCUGGAAGGCCGGUGGAAACUGUCGGGCUAGAGUCCGGAAGAGGCGAGUGGAAUUCCCGGUGUAGCGGUGAAAUGCGCAGAUAUCAGGAAGAACACCCGUGGCUAAGGCGGCUCUCUAGUACGGUACUGACGCUGAGACGCGAAAGCGUGGGGAGCGAACAGG
rnacentral:rRNA from 1 species